GACAGAGGUGCCGAGCGUUAGGCGGAAUCACUGGGCUUAAAGCGUGUGUAGGCGGGUCGUUAAGUACCUUGUGAAAUCCCACGGCUCAACCGUGGAACGGCUGGGUAUACUGGCGGUCUUGAGCCAGCUAGGGGCUACCGGAACAAAUGGUGGAGCGGUGAAAUGCGUAGAUAUCAUUUGGAACGCCAAUGGUGAAAACAGGUAGCUGGGGCUGUGCUGACACUGGAGACACGAAAGCCAGGGGAGCAAACGGG
rnacentral:rRNA from 1 species